UACAGAGGUCCCAAGCGUUGUUCGGAUUCAUUGGGCGUAAAGGGUGUGUAGGUGGCGCCGUAAGUCGGUGUGAAAUCUCGGGCUUAACUCGAAACUGCAUUCGAUACUGCGGUGCUUGAGGACUGGAGAGGAGACUGGAAUUACGGUGUAGCAGUGAAAAUGCGUAGAGAUCGUAAGGAAGACCAGUGGCGAAGGCGGGUCUCUGGACAGUUCCUGACGCUGAGGCACGAAGGUCAGGGGAGCAAAACGGG
rnacentral:rRNA from 1 species